rnacentral:rRNA from 1 species
UACGGAGGGUGAAAGGGUUAACCGGAAUUACUGGGUUUAAAAGGUGCGUAGGCUGCUUUGUAAGUCAGGGGUGAAAGCCCGCAGCUUAACUGCGGAACUGUCUUUGAUACUGCACAGCUUGAAAGAGGUUGAGGUCAGCGGAACGUGACAUGUAGCGGUGAAAUGCAUAGAUAUGUCACAGAACACCAAUUGCGAAGGCAGCUGGCUGGGCCUACUUUGACGCUGAGGUACGAAAGCGUGGGUAGCUAACAGG